rnacentral:tRNA from 1 species
CGAAGCUGUAGUUUAAAAAAAAUAUUAGCAUUGGAAGCUAAAGAAUAGGUUCAACCCUACGCUUUGA